AAGAAGAGAAAGUGGACACUUAACUCCCACAGAGUACCAGUAUAAAAACAAUGGCUUUAAGAGUCUGAGUCAGAGUUUCAACAUGAAAGGCUUACUUUAUAGAGGAAACGCCAACCCCAGUUCAUCCAGAUAGACCUGGAACCUGAUGAAAGUCGACACCUUUACUCUGAAAUUUGCAUCGCAUCACUGGCUCCCAGUUGAGAAAUAUAAUCGUCUAGCAGGUAGUAAGAAUUUCAGCGAAGGCUACUUCUAAAAAUACCCGUCAUGAAAAAUUCAAUCUAUUAGAGCAAACGCAGUCUCUAGGAGCCAUCAGACCCCAAAUGCUCCCCUGCAAAAACGAAUUCCAACAACUCAAUUGAUAAAAAAAAAAAAAAAAAAAAAAAACCAUCUUCCCUGAAGUGAACCAUUUCCCUCGUCCCUAGACUUAACAAACGGUGAAACGCGAGGACGUUGCAACCUGCCCCCGAGAGAUUACUUGUCCACCUAGAAAUGCCGUGAGGCGAUGGGGGAGCCUCGCAAACCCCCUCGAGGGUCAGGAGAAGUUGGAAACAGAGGAGGCUACGGAGGAAAAGUUCUCUUGGAAGCUCGCCCGUGCCUCUCCAGCCCUCUCGAGGUUUACUCGCUCCAAGGAAAGCAGAUUUCAUGAUCGAGAAUGUGUCAAGAAGGAAGGUGGAAAAAAAAAAAUGGUCUCUCUCCACUCCCUUGUCUUUUUAAAUCCCUAGAAAGGAAAAGAGGCUUGCUCAUGACUUGGAAGUGGUAGGCUGAGGCCUCUCAGAACCAUCUGCCUCCUUCCAUUGCCAACCAGAGCCAAGAACCCAGGAGCCGAGGGAGCGCCUGAGUUGCACCUGCCCAUGGGAUCCAAAGACAGCACAACAAGAUUCUGCAGAGAUCACACUUUGCAUGUUUCUGGAUUUCUUGAAGCCUUCAGAACAAGCUCACACAAAACAAGGACUCUUCUGAAAACUCUGAGUACCAACAGAUAUGCAGAACUGCAGGGAAAUACAAAUGCAGAAAUGCUGAAAUACAGUGCCCAUCAGACUCUCUCCAUCACUCCUCUCUCCUCUCCCUGCAUCUGCUGUUUCCACAUCCUUUCUGCACAAUGCUUUCCUUGACUGGCUUUGGUCCACAUAAGGAAAAUACUUCCCAGAUUGAGUUCAAACUCAAACAUCUCUCAAGUUUGCAAAAAUACCUGGAGAGGGAAGGACCUGACUGAUCCAGCUCUGGAUCAGGUGCCCGCCUCUAGACCAGUCAGCUGAGACCAGGAGUCUGAGGCCAUGUUGCAUAAAAUGGAACCAUGACAAGACUGUGGGGGUAGCAGUUCUCAGGAAGAGGGACAGCAGACCACAGUAAACAUGCAGGAGUUAUGUGAGAGGUAUACAACUAGGUUUCAUCCCUUAAGGAGAUUGUCAUAUAUGGGGAGCCAGGCAAAGAUAGAAAUACUAAGUUUUCAAUUCAGUUUAAAUUGAUUUUGAUGCCCCCAAACCAUAAGCUACCCAGGAAUAAAUCAAACCAAAGAGGUAAAGGAUCUGUACUC
rnacentral:lncRNA from 12 species